AGUGAACGCUGGCGGUAGGCCUAACACAUGCAAUUCGAACGGCAGCACAGUGAGAGCUUGCUCUUACGGGUGGCGAGUGGCGGACGGGUGAGGAAUACAUCGGAAUCUACUUUUUCGUGGGGGAUAACGUAGGGAAACUUACGCUAAUACCGCAUACGACCUACGGGUGAAAGCAGGGGAUCUUCGGACCUUGCGCGAUUGAAUGAGCCGAUGUCGGAUUAGCUAGUUGGCGGGGUAAAGGCCCACCAAGGCGACGAUCCGUAGCUGGUCUGAGAGGAUGAUCAGCCUCACUGGAACUGAGACACGGUCCAGACUCCUACGGGAGGCAGCAGUGGGGAAUAUUGGACAAUGGGCGCAAGCCUGAUCCAGCCAUACCGCGUGGGUGAAGAAGGCCUUCGGGUUGUAAAGCCCUUUUGUUGGGAAAGAAAAGCAGCAGGUUAAUACCCCGCUGUUCUGACGGUACCCAAAGAAUAAGCACCGGCUAACUUCGUG
rnacentral:rRNA from 1 species